GUUGAGCUUCAUUGGACCAAUGUUCAUGAAGCUCUUCCUUGACUUUAGGCGGCUGGGUGUAGGUGUAUGACCAUGUUGAGGGUGCUUCUCAUCUGAUGUGUAACGGAGUUGCUCUUUCUUGCUGGCUACCGUUCUUCAUAUAUCAGGGGGAGCAGGAGAUGGCAGAGCAGGAAGCAGUGCUGCCCUAGAUUGGAGGAGGAGGAGGCGGCAGUGCUGCCCCCCUAGGCUGGAAGAGUGGGGGAUGAAGGCAGUGCUGCCCCCUAGGCUGGAGGAGCAAGAGGUGGAAGAACUGGAAGCGGUCCUGCCCUCUGGGCUGGAGGAGUGGGAGGAGGCGUUGCUGCCCCCUGGGCUGGAGGAGCGGGAGGAGGCGUUGCUGCCCUCUGGGCUGGAAGAGUGGGAGGAGGCAGUGCUGCCUCCUGGGCUGGAGGAGCAGGAGGAGGCAGUUCUGCCUCCUGGGCUGGAGGAGCAGGAGGAGGCGUUGCUGCCCCCUGGUCUGGAAGAGGGGGAGGAGGUGGUAUUGCCUCCUGGUCUGGAGGAGGGGGAGGAAGCGGUAUUGCUCCCAGGGCUGGAGGAGCGGGAGGAGGUAGUACUGCCCCCUGGACUGGAGGAGCGAGAGGAGGUGAUACUGCCCCCUGGACUGGAGGAGCGAGAGGAGGUGGUACUGCCCCCUGGACUGGAGGAGCGAGAGGAGGUGGUACUGCCCCCUGGACUGGAGGAGCGAUUGGACGUGGUACUGCCCCCUGGACUGGAGGAGCAAGAGGAGGUGGUACUGCCCCCUGGACUGGAGGAGCGAGAGGAGGCAGUGCUGCUGUCUGGUCUGGAGGAGGGGGUGGUACUAAUUAUUAUGUCGCGGAAGGAGGCUAUUUGGCCCAUUGUAUUGUGUACAAGCCUUUUCUCCUCAGGUGAAAUACGGGAGUUGCACAGCAGAGUCUGGAGGGCCACUGGAAAGAAGGUGAAAGCUGUUGCCCACAGGGAGGAUGGAGCCUGUCAUCUGGUGGAUUCGGAAGAGCUUUAAUUCAGUGCAAGACCUGAGUUCAGAAGCCGCUGAACAGCUGAUUGUGAAGAAUCAGAAUCGGAUUUUGUUGCUGGAUAUUCGGAGUCCGCCUGAAUAUGAGAUCAGUCACUUACAAGGGGCCAUUCGCAUUGACCCAGAAACCACCAACAUGGAUCAUUUGGUCAAGGAUCUGGGCCUGGCAGAUUGUAUCGAAAUCACAGAGGUGAUAUGUUACUGUACAGUGGGAUAUCGCUCCUCCAAAGUGGCACAGAAACUCCUGGAGUUUCUAGCCAGUGAUGCCGGGCAGCACCUGCGCGGGCUACUGAAGGUUUACAACCUGGAGGGGGGGCUGGUGAAAUGGGCCAAUGAGAGGAAAGCCAUUGUGGACAGUGAGAAUCAGCCCACGAGCCUCGUCCACCCCUACAAUAUGAUGUGGGGUCAGCUCCUUGAGCCUGCAUUCAGGGCCCAGAUCUGAGCAAAUUGUGCUUGGCAUCAGUAAAUUAGGAUGGAGAAACCACAGCAUCCAAUGGGUAUCAUUAAAUGGGAAAUUCUGCAAUAGAAGGACGGGGUUAAUCGGACGUAUUGACUGCUAAUCUUAUAAUACAAUCGAUGUUUCUUUAAUAUUAACAUUAACUUUUACUUGUUAACUGACUCUUAGAAGAAUAAAAGUGUAAUCUUGAGAGAGGCUGGAUAUUUUAUACUUAAGUGUGUUUAAUAUGAACUGCUAAAUGAAGACUGACCUUACAGCAAUGGUUAGUUUAGGCCACAAGCCUAAUUUAAGGGUAUUUCCAUGCCAUUUUACAGAGAACUGGAAUUAGCAAUGACAAGUUCUGCAGAGGGAGGAAUCUGCAAAUACAUCAUUAUUUCGAGUGGCAGGAGACCAGUAUGGAACUGUUCAGAAUAACAAAUUGUGAACGGCCUGUCACAAAAGAACUUGUUAACGUGGAAGAUUCAGACAGGAAAAGUAAGAAUUGUUCACCUCGUCCACUCAAAGCUGGGGCGGGGUGACUCAAAAAGAGUUACAGACCUGUGUCACAGCAAACACAACGACAAUCAAACCACCAUUGAUUUGAACGAUACAACAUGCAAAUUGUCACAUGGAAGCUGGGGUCAGGGGGGAAGGUAUAGCGAGUGGACAUUGGAACCGAUUCUAUGGAAUCCAAUUAAGGACUGAUCAUUCGGCCCAGCACUCUGGCUAAAGACUCACAAGGUGUUACUGUGAAGUGAUUAAUUAUUGUAUAUUAAAUUUAUGACCACA